rnacentral:tRNA from 1 species
UGGCUCAGUGGUAGAGUACUUGCCUUGCAUGCAAGAGGCCUUGGGUUCGAUUCCUUA